rnacentral:tRNA from 1 species
GCUCCUGUGGUCUAACCGGCAAGGAUGCCAGCUUCUCAGGCUGCGACGUCCGGGUUCAACUCCCGGCAGGAGCA